CUGUAAGCUUGCAGUGUCCCCAAAGACUGGAACUUGCUGUGGAUCUCACAAGGGAUCUCCAUGGUCUGUGGGCUGGAGUGACUUCCUACCUGGGGGGUCUGAGAGCUUCCUAUGGCCUAAACCUGUGGUGGUUCGCAGCCGACUCAGGGCAAUAAAGAAAAUAAGGCAGCUCUGAUUGUCUUUGGUUUUGUAGGAGAGGAUUUCAAAGCCAGGCUCCUUUCAGCCUCAAUCACUGAACCGGUUUUUGAGGAGAAAGACUUUUAAUCCAAGUCCUGUUAAAAAUGCUAAGUAAACCACCUGGAGAAACUCUGCAUUGUAACAUCUGCCUAGGAAUUACCACACACAACAGCAUCUACAGCAAAGCUGAAACUAUAUGAACAAAAACAAACCUCAGACUUCCUCUCCCUCCACACUCCGUAUGGGUGAGCUGCACUGCGUAAUAGGACAGAUUUACUAUAAGGCAUUCUAAACACACUGCAGAUUAGCUACUUUGGUUUUCCUGUUCCCUCCCCCUACACCAAGAAGAACUGAAGAUCUUUGCCUUCCAGAGCUUUCUAUUCAUUUAGCUCAAUCCUCUGGGUUUAGCACUAUGAUCUAGGAAAUCCCUGCUCACUAAGCUUAAGGGAAGACGCCACCAACAUCCAGGGAACUCCGGUCCUGAGAUGAAAACCCUCGGGCUCUUUGGGUUAUUAUAAACUAAAGCCGAACUAUGGAGCCGGAGGUAUUCACUCCCUCACUCUUCCCCCCGUCCUGAAAAACAGCCAUUUGUUUUUAUUGCUUCUAUAGAUACUUUUAGUCCUAGGAAAGGAAGAAGGAAAAGAAAAAGGGGAUGGAUCUGGAGAAUAGCCACCCAACUGGAUUGGCUGAAAGGCUCAGGCUUCUGCUGACAUCCGGGACCUCAAAACACAGGUCAAAGGACCAUUUCAAUUCAACCAAUAUACUGAGAAGCUUCUGGUUCAUCUAUUGCUCAGCUACCCUCCAUCUCAAGGAAUAAUGAAAACACCUACAAAAAUAAUAGCUAUGAAUGUUACUAGGCACUUUACAUGCAUUGUCUCAUUUAAUCCUAAAACAA
rnacentral:lncRNA from 1 species